rnacentral:rRNA from 2 species
CUCAGGCACGCAACGCGUAGGCCGGCGUGCCUAAUACAUGCAACUCGAGCGGACAGAAGGGAGCUUGCUCCCGGAAGUCAGCGGCGGACGGGUGAGUAACACGUAGGUAACCUGCCCCUUAGACUGGGAUAACUCCGGGAAACCGGAGUAAUACGGGAUAAUAAAGAGAAUCACCUGAUUCUCUUUUGAAAGACGGUUUCGGCUGUCACUAAGGGAUGGGCCUGCGGCGCAUUAGCUAGUUGGUAAGGUAACGGCUUACCAAGGCGACGAUGCGUAGCCGACCUGAGAGGGUGAUCGGCCACACUGGGACUGAGACACGGCCCAGACUCCUACGGGAGGCAGCAGUAGGGAAUCUUCCGCAAUGGACGAAAGUCUGACGGAGCAACGCCGCGUGAGUGAGGAAGGCCUUCGGGUCGUAAAGCUCUGUUGUGAGGGAAGAACAAGUACCGGCGUAACUACCGGUA